rnacentral:tRNA from 1 species
UCCCUGGAGGACUAGUGGUUAGGCCACAGCACUUUCACUGCUGCGGCCCGGGUUCGAUUGCUGGCCUGGGAC